AGUUGAUAGAUGUUCAUGCGUGCGAUUCAAAUCAAACUAGUGUUCGUUUUAAAGUCUUAAGGAAAAACCGCGAGAUUCGCAAGUGUGCUGGAGUAGAGCAUAAAUUAAGGGAAUGAACGAAACUAGGAUCAGACUUGACAUUCAGACGUACGAUGGAUUUAGACUUAGAUAUAAUUUUUAUUUAAAUUUCCCUAAUGUUAUUUGGUUUUUGAACUGUAAAAUUAUUUGAACUGUGGUUUGGGUUUAUUUCUGUUUUGGAGAUUUUUCAUGCAUACAUAGUUUCAUACUUGAGAUUGGUUUAUAA